rnacentral:rRNA from 1 species
AACGAACGCUGGCGGCAGGCCUAACACAUGCAAGUCGAACGCCGUAGCAAUACGGAGUGGCAGACGGGUGAGUAACACGUGGGAACGUACCCUUCGGUUCGGGAUAACUCAGGGAAACUUGAGCUAAUACCGGAUACGUCCGAGAGGAGAAAGAUUUAUUGCCGAGGGAUCGGCCCGCGUCUGAUUAGCUUGUUGGUGAGGUAACGGCUCACCAAGGCGACGAUCAGUAGCUGGUCNGAGAGGAUGAU